rnacentral:rRNA from 1 species
AGUGAACGUUGGCGGCGUGGAUUAGGCAUGCAAGUCGAGCGAGAACCGUAGCAAUACGGGGACAGCGGCGAAAGGGACAGUAAUGUGUAGGUACCUACCCCCGGGUUCGGGAUAGCUGCGGGAAACUGCAGGUAAUACCGAAUAAUGUCUCCGGACCAAAGGUGUGAUUCCACCUGGGGAGGGGCCUGCAUCCUAUUAGCUUGUUGGUGGGGUAACGGCCUACCAAGGCGACGAUGGGUAGCGGGUGUGAGAGCAUGACCCGCGUCAUUGGGACUGAGACACUGCCCAGACACCUAAGGGUGGAUGCAGUCGAGAAUCUUCGGCAAUGGGCGCAAGCCUGACCGGGCGACGCCGCGUGCGGAUGAAGGCCUUCGGGUUGUAAACCGCUGUCGUAGAGGAGGAAAUGCAGGGGGGUUCUCCCCUUUGCUUGACCUAUUCUAGGAGGAAGUACGGGCUAAGUUCGUGCCAGCCGCCGCGGUAA